GCCCAGUGGAAAUGUUAGCCAGUGUAACUGCCCAACAGCUGGGAUGGUGCUGCACUCAAAUCAGCACAACGUUUAACUUACAGGCAACUCUCAAAAGAUGCCAAACAGAAAUCUCAAGCUGAGUUGAAGAUCAGAAGGAAAAGUCAAGGAGGAUGAAAUGCACUCAGAUACAAACACAAAGAAAUUGAGUAUACAGAAACCAUUACAUCUCGCCAGAGUGAAAUCCAGAAAUUUAUUGCAGAUGGUUGCAAAGAAGCUCUACUUGAAGAGAAAAGGCGCUUCUGCUUUCUGGUCGACAAACACUGUAGCUUUGCAAAUCACUUACAUUAUUAUCAUUUACAGUCUGCAGAAUUACUCAAUUCCAAGCUGCCCUGGUGGCAGGAAACCUGUGGUGAUGCUGCCAACGUGCCCGAGAAGAUCAUGAAUAUGAUUGAGGAAAUAAGGACCCCAAGUUCUGACCCCGUGUCCA